rnacentral:rRNA from 1 species
CGUCUUCUGGAUAACCUUGAUUCUUUGUGUGCUUCUAUCUUAAGGGAAAAGUACUACCCUGAUGGUGACUUGAUGAAUGCUAAACAAAGGAAAGGCUCUUCUUUUACAUGGCAGAGUAUUAUGGCAGGCAUCAUUACCCUGAAAAGAGGCUAUAUCUGGCGAGUGGGGAACGGACAAAAAAUAAAUAUUUGAGAAGAUGCUUGGAUCCCAAACUGUGCUAAUAGGAGAAUUGUAACACCGAAGGGGGGGCAUCUGUUAACCAAGGUAGGUGAUCUCAUUGAUCAUGUGUCCAAUAAUUGGGAUGAAGGACUCAUCAAACAAACUACGUGGCCCAUCGAUAUACAACGGAUUCUUUCAAUUCCACUCUCGUAAUAUGAUAUGCCAGAUUUUAUUGCUUGGAGCUAUACAAAAAAUGGAAUGUUCUUGGUCUAGUCAGCAUAUUCCAUCGAGUGGGAAAAUCAGUAUGGUAACAAAUUAAAAUACUCCAAUGGAGUGGGGGGAACCACAGUUAAUCCUAUUUGGAGUAAGAUAUGGAAGUUAUAUUGCCCGGCGAAAGUGAAAAUUUUUAUAUGGCGCACGCCUCAUGAAACUCUCCCAUGCCGGGUUAUGCUUGCUAAUAGACAUAUGAAGGUUUCGCCCACUUGCCCCACUUGCUCACAGGGCUUAGAAGAUACAAAACAUAUGUUUUUCCGUUGUAGGAAAGCAAAGGAGGUUUGGAAAAGGCUAGGGAUAAUUGAUAUUAUCGAUAAAGCAUGCGAAGUAGACCAUGCUGGAGAGGUGGUGUUGGAGUACUUACUACUUCUCUCGGACCAAGAUUGGAGGAUGAUAGGUCACCACAAUGUGCAUGAGAUGAUUGCUGUCUCAACAUGGUAUUUAUGGUGGGAAAGACGGAAGUUAGUGCAUAAGGAGAAACCCCAAAAUGCCUUGCAGAUUUCAAUGGGUGUUUUAUCACUUACCACAAACUUUGUUAAUGCUUCAUCGCCCAAGGCUACCAUUAAGAAGGAAGGAUGGUCCUGUCCCCUAGAGGUUCGUGAAACUUAA